rnacentral:rRNA from 1 species
CGCAUCUGUGCAUGCAGCAUAUCAAUAAGCGGAGGAAAAGAAACUAACAAGGAUUCCCUCAGUAACGGCGAGUGAAGCGGGAAGAGCUCAAAUUUGAAAUCUUGAAAGGUCACCUUUCACGAAUUGUAGUUUAAAGAAGUGUUUUCUGUUACGAUCGUAAUAUAAGUUCUUUGGAAUAGGACAUCACAGAGGGUGAGAAUCCCGUCUAUGAUUGCGAUUUGUAGCUUUGUGAUACACUUUCAAAGAGUCGGGUUGUUUGGGAAUGCAGCCCAAAACGGGAGGUAAAUUUCUUCUAAGGCUAAAUAUUGGCGAGAGACCGAUAGCGAACAAGUACCGUGAGGGAAAGAUGAAAAGAACUUUGAAAAGAGAGUUAAAUAGUACGUGAAAUUGUCAAAAGGGAAGCGCUUUAACACCAGUGUUGUUUUCUGAAAAUCAACCUCUGUUAGCUUUAUGCAUGUUUGUUUAGACCUAAUCAGCUAUCUUGCAUGUUCUAUUGUUUGCAGUGGUGCACUUUUCAGUUUACAGGUCAACAUCAGUUUUUUUUACCGUAAAAAAGUUAAAGAAAGGUAGCUCAUGGCUCCGGUCGUGAGUGUUAUAGUCUUUUUCCUAUGCGGUAGGAGAGACUGAGGUCUGCAGUGUAGGCUAUUUGGCUAGAUACUCAGGUGCUAUGUGAUACCAUUUCAUAAACAACUUGUUGAUUAUGUUUUGUCUAUUGCAUACUCGCUUGUACUAUCAUACCUACGCUUAGGAUGUUGACGAUCAGCUGAGCGCG